AUGCUGAAAACACCAGUUCUCAUCCGAUCACACAAGUUAAGCAUCACCAGCCAUGGUCAGUACUUGGAAGGGUAACCAGGUGGGAACUCCACGUAACGU